rnacentral:rRNA from 1 species
AACGAACGCUGGCGGCAGGCUUAACACAUGCAAGUCGAGCGCAUCCUUCGGGGUGAGCGGCAGCCGGGUGUGUCACGCGUGGGAAUCUACCUUUUGCUACGGCAUAGCUCCGGGAAACUGGUAUUUAUACCGAAUGUGCCCUUAGGGGGAAAGAUUUAUCGGCCCGAGAUGAGCCCGCGUUGGAUUCGCUAGUGGGUGGGGUAAAGGCCUACCAAGGCGACGAUCCAUAGCUGGUCUGAGAGGAUGAUCAGCCACAGUGGGACUGAGACACGGCCCAAACUCCUACGGAAGGCAGCAGAGGGGAAUAUUGGACAAUGGGCGCAAUCCUGAACCAGCCAGGCCGGGUGAGUGAUGAAGGCCUUAGGGUUGUAAAGCUCUUUCACCUGAGAAGAUAAUGACGGUAUCCGGAGAAAAAGCCCCGGCUAACUUCGUG